CUGAGGUGGCGACCGGCGGCACGGGUGAGUAACACGUAUGCAACCUGCCUGUAAGCGGGGAAUAACCCGUUGAAAGACGGACUAAUACCGCAUAAUACUAAAUUACUGCAUGGUAAUUUAUUUAAACAUUUAUGGCUUACAGAUGGGCAUGCGCAUGAUUAGCUAGUUGGAGAGGUAACGGCUCCCCAAGGCAACGAUCAUUAGGGGUUCUGAGAGGAAGGUCCCCCACACUGGUACUGAGACACGGACCAGACUCCUACGGGAGGCAGCAGUGAGGAAUAUUGGUCAAUGGACGAGAGUCUGAACCAGCCAAGUCGCGUGCAGGAAGAAUGUCCUUAAUGGAUUGUAAACUGCUUUUGCAGGGGAAUAAAGUGCAUCACGUGUGAUGUUUUGUAUGUACUCUGCGAAUAAGGAUCGGCUAACUCCGUGCCAGCAGCUGC
rnacentral:rRNA from 1 species